rnacentral:lncRNA from 1 species
UACUCAGAGGAGCUGGGAAGAAUUUCCACCCUUCCUAGUGGCAAGUCUCACUGUGAGAGCGGAGUGCCACCAGGCAAACAGGGCAGAAAGACUGCUUUAAGGAGAAUCCUUAUAUUGGGGGUUAUGAAGUGCAAUACACCCUCAUCCUCACGCUAACACUGGUACCAUGUAGCCCAAGCUUGUCUAACCUGCAGCCCGCGGGCUGUGUAUGGCCCAGGACAGCUCUGAAUGUGGCCCAACGCAAAUUUGUAAACUUUCUAAAACAUUAUGAGAUUUUUUUUUCUCAUCAGCUAUCAUCAGUGUGAGUGUAUGUUAUUUGUGACUCAAGACAAUCCUUCUUUUCCAAUGUGGCCCAGAGAAGCCAAAAGACUGGACACCCCUGAUGUGGCCCUUUCAUCCAUAGUAGCCUAUUUUGUCCUAAAGACGGUCUUGUGCAGUGAGUAGGCCAGGCCUCCCCACUACCACAGUUUACAGGCAAGGAAUGUGAUAUUUCAUAGGAUGACCCUGACUGGCACCUACAUUGCUAGCCAAAGAAUGGCACAAAGAUGUGGACAGAAGAGACAACCUUAAGCAGCUGACUGCUGGCUCCUGCAACAGUAUCAUCAUGGCAUUUGUCCUGGGGUCCCAAGGAAAGAAAACAAAUCUGUGGCUGAGGAACAGACUGAGUUGACAAAGCAGCUUCCACAGUAACACAAGGACAAAGGGUGUAUGUAGAUAUGCACGUGGUAGCAGGUUCUACUAAAGGAACCUGGACCGACCAUUCUAGUAUAUCGUGUAAAGAAAAGCCUUCCAAGGAGAAGCUUUGGGAAGCACUUCUGUAAUGAAUUACAUUGAGAUCUUCAGAGGACAGAAACUUAAUCUCGAGUUAGAGACAUGCUGUCAUUACCAAAACCACGUAUAGAGCAUCUCUCCUCAGUCAGACAAGAACCAAAGGCAACUGACGUGACUGCUCUCUCCUUGGAAGGACGGCAGGAGCCAUGGCGCUGUGAACUCAAACUUCAGGGAGCUUCAGACCCUCCUGCUUGUGACCAUACCCAUGCCUGGGCUCUUGACUAUUUAAAUGUGUUUUGAAAACAACUCUCAUUAUAGAAAUGAAAAGCCUGAAGCUUUCUCAGCAAAAAAGGUUUAACUGAUGAUACUCUACAAAGAAUAAAUACAUCAAUCUAAUUGAACCAACCAAACCAGUCAAUUGUUCUAAUAGAAUAAAUAGUAUCAAAUAGGUAGGAAGAAUAUGAGCCAUAUCUUAUGGCUUAUACUGGGUGGGGUGGCCCAGAGGUUAGGAGGUUUAACUGAUGAUACUCUACAAAAAAUAAAUAGAUAAAUCUAAUUGAACGGACCAAACCAGACAAUUUUUCUAAUAGAGUAAAUAGUAUCAAAUAGGAAGAAUAUGAACCAUUAUCUUCAAUGUGAAUGUGGACUAGUUAUUACUUUUAUGGUCAUUACUUAGACACAGGUUGUUUCCUUUGACACUCAAGCCACUGUGGUUGGAUGAUCCAAUACUAGAAUCAGGUAGACGUGGUUUUGAUGCUUGCUUCUGUCAGUUAUAUUUUCUCAGUUCUAAGUAGCCAUCAAUUUGUAAGAUGUUCCAUUUUAAAU